rnacentral:rRNA from 1 species
UACAGAGGAUGCAAGCGUUAUCCGGAAUGAUUGGGCGUAAAGCGUCUGUAGGUGGCUUUUUUAAGUCCGCCGUCAAAUCCCAGGGCUCAACUCUGGACAGGCGGUGGAAACUACCAAGCUUGAGUACGGUAGGGGCAGAGGGAAUUUCCGGUGGAGCGGUGAAAAUGCGUAGAGAUCGGAAAAGAACACCAACGGCGAAAAGCAUCUGC